UACAGAGGGUGCAAGCGUUGUUCGGAAUUACUGGGCGUAAAGCGCGCGUAGGCGGCUUUGCAAGUCGGGUGUGAAAUCCCCAGGCUUAACCUGGGAACUGCAUUCGAGACUGCAUUGCUAGAGUAUGGGAGAGGGAAGUGGAAUUUCGGUGUAGCGGUGAAAUGCGUAGAUAUCGGAAGGAACAUCAGUGGCGAAAGCGACUUCCUGGACCAACACUGACGCUCAUGUGC
rnacentral:rRNA from 1 species